GCCUCAUUAGCGCAAUGAGUCAGCACGGCAAACCGUAUAUCUGUGAGUGCGGGUUCAAGUCCCGCCUGAGGUA
rnacentral:tRNA from 1 species